GGGUUUGUGUUUUAGUUAAUUUACAAGAUGUUUUUCUUACUUAAUAAAGUUCUAUAAUGGCAAAAAAAUAAUAAUAUAAUUCAAAAAUACUUAAAAGAGAAAACCUUAACAAAAAUCUAAAAAAAGAGAGAAAAUUGACGAGAAAAGCAAAAUUUCUGUGCUACCUUUGUUCUUCAUCUUCAAUUCCUCCUCGCACAAAUCAUACACUCUCAGAGUCUUACUUGGGUGUCGCCACUGCUGCUUUCCUACUGGCUGUGAGUCACCAGCCAUCGUCGUUGAUGCCUGCUGUUUCAGAGUUACACACUUCUUUUUCUCAUACGGUGACCCACUCUCACUCGCUCGACUGUCGCUGCCGCUGCUCGCCUAUCGUUUGUCAAUCAGCAAUUGCCAUCGCUGCUACCUUCGCACUCGCAUGAAAGCCACCAGAGCUCUGCUCAGCUUCUCUUCCUCCUAAAUCGUCAUUUCAAGUCCCACCAGAGCAAAAGGGCUGACGAACCAUCGGAGCUCAUUUGAGAUAAGCCUUCAAUAUUUCUUGAAGAAAAUGCAAAGCGGAACUGGGCCUUGGACAAGUUGCUCAAGAUUAGAAACCACUCCUGAAGGAGUAGGCAUUCCUAGUCCUCUAGAGGUUUCUUCUAUCCCACUUGUAUCCACUACAGAUUCAUCUGCUCUAAUGAUGUUGGAUAGUUCUAUUUUUAUCAGCAAUGAUACAACAGCAAACCUUGGAGUUCCAGUGAUUGCUCUUGGCUCUGCAACCGCUUUUUUGCCUAUUGAAGGAGAACAAGUAGGUGCUAAUAUGCACAUGAGAAGGAUUUUGCAUCCCAAAAAAGAGUAAAACAUUCAAGACUCAGGAUGAUUUCAAGGAUGUUACAGCAAAUGGCUUGUACUAUGCCAUUUGUCAUCACUGCAGGAAAAAGCGUUCAAGGGGAAAGACCAUGCAAGCAACUACCAUGUUGAGACACUGGAUCACUUGUCCAGCUAGGAAAGCAAGUAUCAGAAAGGUGAAGCAGCAAAUCAAACUCAAUUUCUAGUUGGUUGAUGAAUGUUUUUCAACUUUACUACUAUUGAGCCACAAGUUUGACAUGGAGAAAAUGAGAGAGGGAGAUGCACAUUGGGUGUUAAUGCACGAGCAUCCCUUCUCCAUAUUAAAGAAAGAGGGUUUCCACAUUAUAAUGAAACGUGCGGCACUAGAGUGGAAGAAAAUCUCGCUGACAACAGUGAAAAAUGAUUGUAUGCAGGAUUAUGGAGUUCAAAAAAAACAAGUUGAAGAAUAAGUUCAAGAAUGUGGAAAAGGUGAGCAUCACAACAGAUUUUUGGAAGUCAAAAAAUCAAAAGAUCUAGUACAUGGUCAUCAAUAAUGGAAAGAAGAUUUUUCUUGUUUCCAGGCUAGAAAGCAACAUUACGAUAUUUGCCCAUCUCCUGAGGAUUAGAAAAAACGCAACAAAGGUAUUCUCCAUCUUAGAAAAAUUUUAGGAGGGCACACAUGUAAUUUUUGGGCCAAAUUAUCCAAUAAGCAAUUUGUUCCUUCAGGGGGUUGUGAAGAUAAAAAAAAUUUUUUGAAUGCUUGAGUCAAUGAUGAUGACUACUUCAUUUGGGCCAUGGUUCAAAAGAUAAAAACUAAGUUCAGCAAAUAUUGGGGUGAGUGUAUUUGUUAAUGGCUAUACCUGCUAUUUUAGAUUUGAACAGAAAAUAAGGGUUGUAGAGUUCGCCUACUCACAAUUGUAACCACCAUUAGAAGUUUCUAAGAACAUUUCCAACAUUCGUCAAGUGAUCUUUGAAUUAUAUGAUGAAUAUGUUGCUUUGGCAGUGAAUGCAGCUAGAGAAGCAGUGGAAGAACACUCACAAAGGUGGGGAAAAUAUGUGCUUGGAACUAGGUAGGUUGAUUGUGAUGAGUAUUAAAUCAAGACCAUUGAAUCCCACAAGUCUAGAUUGGUUGAUUAUCUUGACAAACCUCACCAAAAGAUUGGAGCAGACCCGGACAACUUUGAUUGCUUGGAAUGGUGGAAAAUAAAUUGGAUCUCAAACCCAGUACUAUCUCGAAUGGCCUAUGAUAUCUUGGUCGUUUUGAUAACUAUAGUUGCAUUAGAAGCCACAUUUAGUGCCUAGACUUUAGUAAUUGAUGCGUAUCAAGCUUCACUUCAUCCAAAUAUAGUUCAAGUCUUGAUGUACGUAGGAGAUUGGUUUAGGAAGCUUUACAGGGUCAAAAAGAAAAUGAAGGAAGUCAAACCAAUCAAAGAAAUUGACUUGCCAAAAGUUCUAAAAUUUAUGCCACAUGGACCAAGUUUCAUAUUGUGGUACAUUCUUUUUCUUAAUUGUUGAAUAUUUAAUGUUUAUAGUUCACUUCAUUCCUUUAUUUUUUAUUCCAUUUAUUGCCAAUAUAGCUGUUGAAAUGGCUAAUAAGCUUGCUGGUUCUAAGAGAAAUGGUUCACAUCAAAAGCUUGUUCUAACUUCUAAGCGAAAUGAUAGUGUCAGUGAAUUGAUGUAUGUUGCUGUUUUAGUGAAAUUUUUGCAUUUUUUGUUGUUAGUGAAUUGUUAUUGUAUGUGAAUGAGACUCAAAAUGCUUGUUUUGGAGUCCCGAAUAUUGUUGGAAAUUUCUUUAAUGAAUAGUCCAUGGCUGUUAUAUUCUAUGUUUAUUAUAGCCUAGAAGGAGUUCAUUUUUCACUUUUAAAUGGUUGUUGGAAUCUUGAUUUUUGAACACAGAAUCUGCAUGGAGUUAAAUGGUUGGAGCUGAAAUUUUCAUUCCUGCUACUGCUGCUGCAGUAGAGUUAUGUUGCUGACCGCUGCUAUUCAUUUUUAUUGCUACUGCUGUUUCUUAUUUCUUCUGUUGUUGCAUCUCAUUUCUGCUCCUGCCUAUUGCUAGCUAUUAGUUUUUGCUGCUGUUCAUUUCUGCUGUUGCUGUUUUUGCUGUUCAAAACUUGAAGGUGGAAUCUAGAUUUGCAGUGUUGCUGCAUUUGGUCCA